rnacentral:rRNA from 1 species
GAUGAACGCUGGCGGCGUGCCUAAUACAUGCAAGUCGAGCGAAUGGAUUAAGAGCUUGCUCUUAUGAAGUUAGCGGCGGACGGGUGAGUAACACGUGGGUAACCUGCCCAUAAGACUGGGAUAACUCCGGGAAACCGGGGCUAAUACCGGAUAACAUUUUGAACCGCAUGGUUCGAAAUUGAAAGGCAGCUUCGGCUGUCACUUAUGGAUGGACCCGGGUCGCAUUAGCUAGUUGGUGAGGUAACGGCUCACCAAGGCAACGAUGCGUAGCCGACCUGAGAGGGUGAUCGGCCCCACGGGGACUGAGACACGGCCCAGACUCCUACAGGAGGCAGCAGUAGGGAAUCUUCCGCAAAGGACGAAAGUCUGACGGAGCAACGCCGCGUGGGUGAUGAAGGCUUUCGGGUCGUAAAACUCUGUUGUUAGGGAAGAACAAGUGCUAGUUGAAUAAGCUGGCACCUUGACGGUACCUAACCAGAAAGCCACGGCUAACUACGUGCCAGCCGCCGCGGUAA